AGAAUCUUAAUAAGUUUUAAUAAAUUUUAAUAAAUUUUAAUGAAUCUUAAUAACUUUUAAUGAAAAGGGUCAAUUGAGAGAGAUUUUUAGUAAAAUAUUUUAGUAAUAUAUUUCCAUUAUCUUGGAUGUUUUGUUUUAGAAUGCGCUCCAAUCCAAAAGCAAUAGGUCUGUUUUUUAGCUGAACUUCUUGCACGAUUCAGCAGUCUUCUUUUUCUGUUCAUUGGAGAGAUAAAGAAAAAAAUUCAACUGUGCAACAAGUUCAAUUAAAAAUAAGAGAGCGUUCCCACCGAGCGCGUAACACGUCGCAUCGUUUUUCGCGUCCAAUCAAAACGUCUCAUUUUAUUAUGAUAAAAUAUAAUACAUGUUUUGAAUGAACGCGAAGGACGACGCGACGCAUGACGCGCUCGGUAGGAACGCUUCCUAACGGAUCUAGCACGCUGCCGCGGCACGCGCAGGCGCACGGCUGUAACAUUGGCGUGUCGCGUGCGUGCCACGUGCGACGAAUGCGACGAUCAGUGUUAACUGUGAACCGAGUGUAGUAAGACGUGCGUGUUUAUGAGGUUUAUUUUUUAUUCCUGCACUGCUGUACUAGUGCAAUAAGUUAGAAUAAGAAAAAAUAUAUUUGUCUUAUUCUAACUUAUUACACCAGUGCAGCAGUGUAAGAAUAAAAAACAAACCUUGGACUUCGUUCUGGGCAGUCGACGUGAUCCGACUCCUCUCUCCUAAUAUACAUUAUUAUAAUUCAAUAUCGUUUAAUCAUCGAGUGAAGACAUAAUCGUCUACAAAUACUUGGCAUUCUUCGGCGCCCGUAUUUCUGAAUAAGUCAAAGAUUCCUCAUUAUCAGAAACUUGUGGGGUUAUUCCGGCACCUGGUAAAGAGAGAUAGGCGUUACAAUUUCGCCCGUCACGGUACAGCCAUAUUAGAGGAGUUUGCUGUGUGCUUAUUGCGUAGUUACUUGUAACAAUAUCGAAGAAAAUCCUAAUUGAAUCGCGCCCAUAUAACCUAAGAGGUGAGUUUUCCACGGUAACGUAGCUCAACAAGUUAUCUGUCCUUUAUUUUAAUAAUAUUAAUCUUCUUAUAUUCGGAUAUAUUGCGUAGUUACUUGUAUACCACGAGGAUCGCUAUUCAAUAAACUGUUGGCCUAUGAAAAGAUAUUAUUUUCAACAAUACCAAAGAAAAUUCCAAUUAAGUUGCCCAUAUAACCAAAGAGUUACUUGUAUACCACGAGGAUCGCUAUUCAAUAAACUGUUGGCCUAUGAAAAGAGAUUAUUUUCAACAAUACCAAAGAAAAUUCCAAUUGAGUUGCCCAUAUAACAAACUCGCCAAUUUCAAAGUUCCGAAGAAAUUGAAACUAUUGACAUUUGGUGUAAUCUUCCACUGAAAGAUGAAAGGAGUCUACAAGAAUUAGAAAUUAAGCUUAAGGAGAACGAAAAUUAUAGGAAAAAAAUGAUUAAAGAGUUUGCAAAUUUAGGAGGCCAAAAUGUGAAAACUUCAGCUUUAAAACUAAUGCGGAAAAUAUUUACAAACGAACUCGCCGUUCAAUAUAGCUGGGUCGGAGGCAAAAAGAAAAAUAUUUUUGUGGACUUAAUGAUAUGCAAAGUUAUACUUAGUGCGUUGAGAAAACAUUAUCAAAAUUCUACGGAGGAAGAACUGUCAGCUCCGAUAAAAAUUUGGCUCGCUCACGCCAAAGAGCGAUGUUCAAAAGCUACGCUUAACACGCAGAAUUAAUUUUGUUUUUCGCAAUUUUUUUGUUGCGCUGUUUCCAAAGUGUAUACUCCCGAGAAAACUGUAUUCUCAGGGAAUUUUAUUAUUUUAUAUAAGUUAUAUAAAAUAAUAAAAUUUCUCCUAUAUUUUA